UACGGAGGGUGCAAGCGUUAUCCGGAUUUACUGGGUUUAAAGGGUGCGUAGGUGGGUUGGUAAGUCAGUGGUGAAAUACUUUCGCUUAACGAAGGAACUGCCAUUGAUACUACCAGUCUUGAAUACAGUGGAGGUAGGCGGAAUGCGUCAUGUAGCGGUGAAAUGCUUAGAUAUGACGCAGAACACCAAUUGCGAAGGCAGCUUGCUACACUGUUAUUGACACUGAGGCACGAAAGCGUGGGGAUCAAACCAGG
rnacentral:rRNA from 1 species